CGUCUGCGCAGGUGCAGAGGGUCACGGAGUGUCCCUACCACGGCAUCGAUUUGUUUUAAUUUUAAUAUUAUUAGUUAUAUGAGCAGGAUAUUAUCCAAUUGGUACGAAUUGGGUAAUUAGAAAAGUUUUCCUGGACGAUUAGCUUACCGAGAUUUUUUGGAUGGCAACCUUCGAAAAUUUGCAUUGUUGGGGUCACCUUCCAAAACUGUGCGGAACGAACAGGUUUAACUAAUUUUUGCAAAAAUUUAGAGAAAGGUUUGUUUUUUAGGGCGCAAAUUGCGAUAACGUGUUGAAAUUGCAUCAUGCUGUAAAUAAACAAAAAAUCGGUUAUACUAUGGUAGGAGUUCGCCAUAAAAUUACGUGCAAAAAAAUUCUUAUUUUUGUUAUUGUUGAUUUUAAUUUUAAUCUAUUUUCGAAGAACGUAUGUUAUUGUUGACAAAUAAAUAAAAUGUAACUUAAUUAAUUAAUUAAUUAAUUAAUAAAAGUCAGAAAUUGCAGUAUAUGUACA